rnacentral:rRNA from 1 species
UUAGUUAGUGGCGAACGGGUGAGUAAUAUAUAGGUAACAUGCCCUUAAGCCUGGGAUAACUUCUGGAAACGGAAGCUAAUACCGGAUAAUCUCUUUUUAUCGCAUGAUUUAAAGAGGAAAGAUUUAUCGCUUAAGGAGUGGCCUAUAUCUGAUUAGCUAGUUGGUGAGGUAAUGGCUUACCAAGGCUACGAUCAGUAGCUGGUCUGAGAGGAUGAACAGCCACACUGGAACUGAGACACGGUCCAGACUCC